rnacentral:rRNA from 1 species
GUCAAGUCAUCAUGGCCCUUACGGCCAGGGCUACACACGUGCUACAAUGGCAUAUACAAAGAGAAGCGACCUCGCGAGAGCAAGCGGACCUCAUAAAGUAUGUCGUAGUCCGGAUUGGAGUCUGCAACUCGACUCCAUGAAGUCGGAAUCGCUAGUAAUCGUAGAUCAGAAUGCUACGGUGAAUACGUUCCCGGGCCUUGUACACACCGCCCGUCACACCAUGGGAGUGGGUUGCAAAAGAAGUAGGUAGCUUAACC